rfam:Ictidomys tridecemlineatus contig031984, whole genome shotgun sequence.
GGGGAUUUAGCUCAGUGUUAGAGUGCUUGCCUAGCAUGCAUGAAGUCCUGAGUUAAAUCCCCAGCAUCACCA